rnacentral:rRNA from 1 species
GACGAAGGUGGCGAGCGUUGUUCGGAAUCACUGGGCAUAAAGAGCACGUAGGCGGCUAAGUCAGUCGGAUGUGAAAUACCUCGGCUCAACCGAGGAACUGCGUCCGAUACUGCUUGGCUUGAGGUCCGGAGGGGAGAGUGGAAUUCCCGGUGGAGCGGUGAAAUGCGUAGAGAUCGGGAAGAACGCCGGCGGCGAAAGCGACUCUCUGGUCGGAAUCUGACGCUGAGGUGCGAAAGCUAGGGGAGCAAACGGG